CGGAUUCUUCUCAUCUUCAGGAGAGCGCCAGCCUGCCCAGGGGAAGCCUUGACGCACGUCCAGCUGCUGAUUAGUAUAUGCCUCACAGUCUGAGUGCUGGUUCUUUCUCUGAGAAAUUGGAAAGGCUACCACAGGAUGCUGGGGAGCUUUAAUGGAGAGGAGAAUAAAGAGCAUAGAUACAUAGGUCCCUUACCUGCAGUCUCACUGGUGCAGUUUCCAUUACUUGCAUCAACCAUGGUCCUGAAGUAGGUGAUCAUCCUUCUGACAGAUCGUCCAAAGGAUGUUCUGAUGAAGCCAGUUGCCAUACUGUAAACUGUUGAGGGCAGCCUCUGGCCAACAGCAAUUAAGGAACAAAACCCUGCAAACAAACAGGUGAGUGAUCUUGAAAGCAUAUCUUUUCCCAGUAGAGCCUUGGGAUGUCUGCAGUCCCAGCAAACUGCUGAAGUGGAGAUUUAGGUAAUU